GCUAUAAAUAGUGAGGAUAUCCUGGACGACGGUUAUUCACUCAAAUAACACCAUAGAUAGUUUAAUUUCUUCUCUACGCAAACAUGAAACUGCUCUUUGCAUUGCUCUCCAUUUUCUCACUUAUCAUGUUCUCAAGCACUGUCAAUGCAAGAAAAGAUGUGGCUGAAUAUUGGAGUAGAGAAAUGAAAGAUCAGCCAUUGCCAGAAGCAUUACAGGACUUGAUGGAGCUUCUCCAACCUCAUCUACCUCCACAAAAGAGAAAGUCAAUUGUCAUACAACUGAAAGUCACAAUGAUGCCACAAUUAAAGCACAGAAGCCAUAUUUUGACAAAAAAAUGACGCUUCAAUUUACCAUGUAGAGCUCAAAAAAGAAGUUUGAGCCGAGGUCUGAUAUCUCUAUAUAUCACAAUGAUGUAGAGCUCAAAGAGCUGUUUGAGCCGAGGCCUGAUAUCUCUAUAUAUCACAAUGAUGCAACACUCAAAAAUCAAAUGUCAUAUUCUGAGACAAAAAAAUGAUGUAGAGAUCAAAGAGGAGUUUGACCCGAGGCCUAA